GUGCGGGAAGUUUCAUCAUGUUUGUGAGGACCAACCAGCGCGUAGGGGCGUGGCCCACAAUGCGAGACCUUGGAGGCAAGGAGGGGGGAGGGCGGAGGAGGAGCAGAGAACUAGAGGAGGAAUUGCUCCGUUCCAGCUCCUUAAAGUGUUAGUGCACCUGCUGAAGGAUUGCCUCAGAGGUCUAGCCAGGUGCCCCACUGACACUGAGGGUUAUCUUACCUGCUGUUCUGACAAUUAGGGGGCCUUCUGCACUUGGUUUGUUCUUGGGGAAAUCAACACCAAAUUGAUGGCCGUGUCCCCUCUACAGCACAUCUCCCUGCAGAUCCUUAACUGCAAAAUUUUUAGGAGUACAGGUAUCCCCCGCUUUUCGAAAGUUCAUGUUAUGCCACUUUGCUUUUACAGAAGACCCACAUUAGUACUUCAUGUGGUACUAAUUCAGUUAGUUUUUGCUAACGGAAAGGAAUCCGAAAGGAUGUUUGCUUUUAGGGGAAAAGGCUAACCAUGGGAAAGAACAAUUAUUCUUAUCUUUUGACUGUCAAAGAAGAGUCUCAAGAAUAUAAAGUAACAUACC